GGGGCUGCAGAACUUCCAGCCAGGACAGGCACAGCAAACAGGCAUCAUGGCAGGGAAGUGUCUGGCCCUGAGCAGUCAGCAGUCGCAGGACCAGGAAAGAGGGAGGGACCUGCAUGGACACCAGGGACUAAAGGUUACUGCAAUUCUCAAUGACAUUUCCAAUCCACUCCCACAGCUGGCCAGGGGUGAGCUGCUCCAAAGGCUCCCUUGGGGCACAUUCGGACAUUUAGAAUCCGGAGCAGGAACAAAGGGCAGCGGGGGAGGAAGUGGCCGUCAGUGUGGAGCUGAGCUUCCCAGCCCACCAGGGUUUCAGUCACUGUCCAGGGUGACAGUCCCAGCCCAUCAGUGACUGAAGCUGGCUUAGAUGACACCUGGGGGCCAGGCCCUUGUUUUACAGGCCAGGAAACUGAGGCUGGGGCCACACGACCGCAGCGCUCCUUGCGGACUUAUCUGCGACCUCACAGCAACCCGGUGGUGGUGGGAAAGCUCCUCUGGAGCAGGCAGAUAAGGAAACAGAGGCUCAGAGGAGUCCAGAGCCGGCUCAAGGUCACGCACCCGGUGAAGCCAGGGCUGGUGGCGCCUGGGCUUCCUGGUGCAAGGCACUUUCUGCUCUUCCCAUCCUGGUCUGGCAGGAACAGCCACUAAGCCAAGAGGAUCGGAGGCCCAGAGAGGCAGGGCAUAUACAAAGGCACAGUCGAGACUCUCCGGUGGAUUAUAUAACCCCUCCGAGGGGCUGUUCCCGGGGGGAACUGAGGCAGCCAAGGUGGCCCGGGGACCGCACAGCCAGUCUGGCCCACCCACCAGCCGGCUUCGCUCUUUCCAAAGAGGCCUCUCCACUGUGCUGUUUCUCCCCUGGAGCCAGCCAACCGCAGGCUGAAACCGUAUGGACCAGCCUGGUGACACCCGGUGGGACCGUGAGACUGAAGCCCACCUUCCCUCAGCGCUUCUAGCCUGUGGAGCACUAGGAGGGGAUCUACCCUGCAGCUGCUCACGCCGGUGACUUCCCCGUGAGAUCCUGACAUCCUGGCCAGCACUGCACUGACCAGGCCACCCCUUGGCUCACAGAUGGAGGUGGUCACACCUUUGGGACAGAGCCAGCUCCUGGCUAGUCUUUCACGGCAGGAGAAGAGGGACAGCUCUGCCAGGUUGGCAGCGAGGUUCCUGCCAUGCAGAGCUCUUGGGGACAAGCCUGCACCCAGGGCUGCCUGUGACCUGCUUGUCUUCCUGUGACCUACUGAGGCAACCAGGUCGGGCCCCACAGUGUCCCAGGUUCCUAGCCCGGAGGGUGUCAGCCACCAGGGGGCUUCAGGGAGCCAGGAGGUACUGGAAGGGAGAUGCCUUCAUCACAUUCCCAAGCUGAAGGCAGGAGAAUGGGGACUGAGUGCUGCUCUUGGUCUCCCCAAGCCUCAGUUUCCCCACCUGCACCCUGCCACUGAUAACAACCCCCCCUCAGGCACCUCAGGCAGCCCCAGGCUCUGGUUUUAGAGGUUAUGAGUGCUAGGUUGCGGGAAGCUCGAGAGUGAGUGCUGUCCCAUCCUGUCCGUAUCCACAGUUUCACAGGUGACAAGCUGAGAACAGAGGUGACAAGUGAGGUCUCACUCUGAGCCCUGGGCCUGACACACCAGCUGGCGAGCUGGACAGAUGCCCCCAUCCCACACAGCCCCUUUUGUCAUAUGUGGACCUCAGCAGGUAGACAGGGCCUGGCCAGGAAGUGGGGUCCCACCCCAGACCACAGCCCGGCAGCCCCCAGCCAGCUGGGCAGGCGACAAAGCCCACUCCCGGCUUCCACACUGGAUAUCCAACCCCAGCUUGGUUCUCCGCAGCCCACACCUCUCAUGGCUGGUGGUGUCUUCCCCAAGGGGUCUUGAGCCCACACAGAGUCUGGCAAGGAGAAUUAACACGACCCAAGCUCAUAGGGCGAGUGGAGCGCCCUGGCAUCCCCCUAACCCAGCCGGCACUCCCUGGGGCGCCCUGGAGUAAUCCCUGGAGUGAGCAGUCAGGCCUCAGGCUCACCAAGCAGGGCCCUUUGUACCUGGGAGAAAUGCUGGGCACCGGGCAUGGCAGGCCCCUCAUCUCAGAGCUUUUGAAAGGCAGCCUGAGCCAGUCCUGCGCCCAGCCUGAGGCCACACAGCUCAUGAGAGCGCAAAGCCUGCCCCGUGGCUAGGGUGGCCUUGCCCUGUACAUGGUCCCCUUAAUCCUCCAAAGGCCAAGCAGGCAGGACAAGGUCUCCUUUGUAGCUGUCUGGGCCUGGCCAGGGGCCGCACUGUUUCUAGCAUAAGCCCCGGCUUUUCUGUUACUGGGUUUGGAGCUGGAGUGCAGCCUCCUCUUCCCCUUCCGGGCCACACACGGAGUGUCUGAGCAGUAAAUACCUGUUUCAUCAGGCUAGUUAGGUUUCCUGCCUGACAGGGCUCUAUGCCUGUGGUCCCCUCAGAUGGGCUCCCAGAGCCCUUUCUCCCAUCCUAGAAGUCACUUCUAUGGAUUCCUGAUAGCAAAAAUGGGCCCAGAGAGGUUAAGUGACUUGCCCAGGGUGACACAGCUGGGAAGUUUCCGAGCUGGGCUUCAACCGGGGUUGUCUGCCCCCAACCCAGGUCCCUGCUCUUGACUUUGAUGCAGCAAGGAGCAGAGAGGCGGUUGUGGAAGUGGAACAUGCCUGGCUGCACCUCUGCAGGC
ensembl:lncRNA